GAGAGGAAAACGAAAGGAGGGAAGAAAUGUGUCGUUAGAGAAGAGAGAGAGCGAGCCAACAGUGGCAGCACUUAGUUAGCAGCUCUGGCAGAGAUUCACACACACACUGCUAAAAAUAAUCAACGUGUUAGGAUGACGUAUCGCUCUGCACAUCUGCACAGAAUCUGAAGAAAUCAGAGCGAAGGAUUUUAAAAUCUCGCUUCAUGGCGUCGCAGGAAGCAGGAAACUCCUCCUUUAACAGCAUGGACUCGAUGCGGACCGAGUAACUACACAGACAUUUGAAUAUCAGAGACAUGGAUCCUUACAGAUAUUUAAAGUCUACCUGCUCCGCUGGAAUCGUUUUCCAGAAGAAACUCCUCACCCUCUUCUUCUUCUUCAUCCCACCUGGAUUAUCUGCAGGCAGCAGAGGAGGAGGAGG